AUACGUAGGUGACAAGCGUUAUCCGGAUUUACUGGGAGUAAAGGACGUGUAGGCGGUCUUGCAAGUCAGAAGUGAAAUUCCUGAGCUCAACUCGGGCGCUGCUUCUGACACUGCAGGACUUGAGUGCUGGAGGGGAUAGCGGAAUUCCUAGUGGAGCGGUAAAAUUCGCAGAUAUGAGGAAUAACAACGGUGGCGAAGGCGGCUUGCAGGACAGUAACUGACGCUGAGGCGCGAAAGCGUGGGGAGCAAACAGGAAUUGAUACCCUGGUAGCCCACGCCGUAAACGAGGAAUACUAGGUGUAGGGGGUAUCGACUCCCUCUGUGCCGCAGUUAACACAAUAAGUAUUCCGCCUGGGGAGUACGGCCGCAAGGUUGAAACUCAAAGGAAUUGACGGGG
rnacentral:rRNA from 1 species